rnacentral:rRNA from 1 species
CUGGCUCAGAUUGAACGCUGGCGGCGUGCUUAACACAUGCAAGUCGCGCGUGAAGGACUCGGUACCGAGUAAAGCGGCGCACGGGUGAGUAACGCGUGGAUGAUCUACCCAUGAGUUAGGAAUAACGGCUGGAAACGGUCGCUAAUACCAAAUACGCUCCGAUUUCAACUUCGGGGGAAAGGUGGCCUCUGCUUGCAAGCUACUGCUCAUGGAUGAGUCCGCGUCCCAUUAGCUAGUUGGUGGGGUAACGGCCCACCAAGGCGACGAUGGGUAGCCGGUCUGAGAGGAUGACCGGCCACACUGGGACUGGAACACGGCCCAGACUCCUACGGGAGGCAGCAGUGGGGAAUAUUGCGCAAUGGGCGAAAGCCUGACGCAGCGACGCCGCGUGAGGGAUGAAGGUCCUCGGAUCGUAAACCUCUGUCAGGAGGGAAGAACCGCCACGGUGCUAAUCAGCCGUGGUCUGACGGUACCUCCAAAGGAAGCACCGGCUAACUCCGUGCCAGCCGCUGC